CGGCCCUACGGGAGGCAGCAGUGAGGAAUAUUGGUCAAUGGGCGGAAGCCUGAACCAGCCAAGUAGCGUGCAGGAUGACGGCCCUACGGGUUGUAAACUGCUUUUAUACGGGAAUAACGCGCCUUACGUGUAGGGCUUUGCAUGUACCGUAUGAAUAAGGAACGGCUAAUUCCGUGCCAGCAGCCGCGGUAAUACGGAAGGUCCGGGCGUUAUCCGGAUUUAUUGGGUUUAAAGGGUGCGUAGGCGGACUGUUAAGUCAGCGGUAAAAGCCCGGGGCUCAACCCCGGCGAGCCGUUGAAACUGGG
rnacentral:rRNA from 1 species